AUUGAACGCUGGCGGCAGGCCUAACACAUGCAAGUCGAGCGGAUGAAGGGAGCUUGCUCCUGGAUUCAGCGGCGGACGGGUGAGUAAUGCCUAGGAAUCUGCCUGGUAGUGGGGGAUAACGUCCGGAAACGGGCGCUAAUACCGCAUACGUCCUGAGGGAGAAAGUGGGGGAUCUUCGGACCUCACGCUAUCAGAUGAGCCUAGGUCGGAUUAGCUAGUUGGUGGGGUAAAGGCCUACCAAGGCGACGAUCCGUCACUGGUCUGAGAGGAUGAUCAGUCACACUGGAACUGAGACACGGUCCAGACUCCUACGGGAGGCAGCAGUGGGGAAUAUUGGACAAUGGGCGAAAGCCUGAUCCAGCCAUGCCGCGUGUGUGAGGAAGGUCUUCGGAUUGUAAAGCACUUUAAGUUGGGAGGAAGGGCAGUAAGUUAAUACCUUGCUGUUUUGACGUUACCAACAGAAUAAGCACCGGCUAACUUCGUG
rnacentral:rRNA from 1 species